GCAAACACACGACGUACUCCCGACGUCGGUUAAUGGUCGUCUGAACGUCAUGUCUUGAGUUUACGUCGUACCAACGUUGUGGGAACGUAAAAACCCAACGUUGGAUGCAGACGUACAGACAACGUUAUAAAAUUACGUCGAAUUUACGUAAAUUUAGUACCCUGUCAGGACGUAACAUUUUAUUACGUUGUGACAACGUGCUUAUAACUGUCUUAAUCCGACGUAAUAUUUUGUUACGUCGUAUCAACAUUAUAAUAACGUAGUGAACAAACCUUGUUAAUACCAGUGACACAUUUAAAUCUGGUUUUAUGGGACGAAUUUUGUGGGUAUGAGUCUUCCUGGGUAUAUCAUUCACCUUCACUAGAAUAUAUUCACGAUUUUUUCGAUUUUCAAAAUAUCCCCCUUUUUUCCCGCACAGACAUAAUUUGCACCAAAAUGUCCAAGAAAAUAUUACAAAUCCAAUUUUAAUGUUCUAAUAUAUAUAUUUUAUAUGAAUAUUUAUUGUUUAAUAUAUCAUUAAAGUUUUGUCAUCAUUUAUUAUUCUAAUUCCAUAAUCGAUUUUUUACGAUUGGUUAUAAUAGUGGAACGUUCAGCAGUACUCGGGUUUUACCGCUGCAUAUUAUGAAAAGUCUGAGCAUGCGCACUUUCACCGCUUGAUUUUUAAAAACAGUGAUAAAACUUGCAGUGAAAUUUAGCUCGAUCCAGAUUCUAGAACAAAGAAAAAGACUCUUGUAUAAAAAUCCACAGAUCCAAUGUGUCUGAGGUUGAGGAAUGCAUUGCAGUAACACUUAAGCUUGCACCAGCUAGCUCAAAAAGAUGGACCAAGUUAUAAAAAGAGACCUGAAACCAACACAAGACCAGCUGAUCAGAGGGCAGAAAACCAAAAUUUGGAAUGACAUGUAUACAACCAACAAAAGACUAAAAUUUGGAAUAAAAAUAAAAAAAAUUCAGAAACAUAU